rnacentral:rRNA from 1 species
GGGGGGCAGCAGUGGGGAAUUUUGGACAAUGGGGGCAAGCCUGAUCCAGCCAUGCCGCGUGUGUGAAGAAGGCCUUCGGGUUGUAAAGCACUUUUGUCCGGAAAGAAAUCCUUGGGGCUAAUACCCUGGGGGGAUGACGGUACCGGAAGAAUAAGCACCGGCUAACUACGUGCCAGCAGCCGCGGUAAUACGUAGGGUGCGAGCGUUAAUCGGAAUUACUGGGCGUAAAGCGUGCGCAGGCGGUUUGGUAAGUCAGAUGUGAAAUCCCCGGGCUCAACCUGGGAACUGCAUUGGUGACUGCCCGGCUAGAGUACGGCAGAGGGGGGUGGAAUUCCGCGUGUAGCAGUGAAAUGCGUAGAUAUGCGGAGGAACACCGAUGGCGAAGGCAGCCCCCUGGGCCUGCACUGACGCUCAUGC